GUCAGCCAGCCAGAUCAUCUAGGUGUCUUGUUACACGCUUUAUAAGUUAAUUAUAUUGAAAUUAUUACAGCCAUGGAGCCUUUAUUUUCGCGGAGUUAUCGUAACAUCCUCUCUUGUUCAAUCGAUAUAAAUACACAGUGGAAAGGAGUGAGAGGGAGCCAUAGAGAGAGACACUGAUGAACUGGGGAGCCAUGCUCUAACAACGUUCAGAGGCUUGUAACAGUCUACUGAGUCUGACGCGGUGCUUAAAUGGGCUCUGGAGACGCAGGAAUGUUGUUGGAUUCAACUAUUUGUGCAUGGAAGCAAAAAAAUAUCUCCCCAUCAAGGGCAACAGCAGAGUAGCCUACGAAAAUAAUAGACUGAUAUGAAUGCUUCAAAUAUUAAAACCCGAUUGAUUAGGCCUAUGCCGACAUAAUAUCAGUCCUAAUCCUGAACGCACCGUGCGUACAUUUUUCACGGCAUUUUCCCCCAGACAGACAGACAGACAGACAGACAGACACUUUAUUUACCCCAAACUAACUUUCAUAAUCCAGCAGGUUACACAAUACAAAUAACUCUUACACAAAUACAGACAGCCUAUACAGUAGGCUAAUACAGUGCCCACCUCAGCAAAAGGUAAAAUGUAAAAAGAAGAUAUAAGCUACAUUUAAAAUACAGAUGCUGUAGCCUACAUAAAAAUACAGAUGCCACAUGAAAUAUGAAAAUAGGAUGCACUGUAUAAAUAUGCAAAACUAGGAUAUAACUAGGCUAUAAUGAGAAUACUUGGUUAACUUACAUCUGUGCAAUGACUAUCCUCCUAAAUUAAAUUAGUUAGAUGGAAAGAUUUUUGUCUAUGGAAUGAUCCUGUCACUUUACUGCCACACAUUGUGUGUGUCAGUAAAGUGAUGAGGUAGGAGAAUCCGUGUAUGGAUUGUUUUUUGGUUUUUCUGAUUUGGUUUUGAAACUGAAAAAGGGCAAAAGGAAUAAACAAAUAAACGGCAUUUGAUUUUG